rnacentral:lncRNA from 1 species
UUGAUGAAAUAAUAAGUUUUAUAGAGAAAGGCAUCAAGAGAUGCAAGAAGUACAAGAGGGGGAAAGAGUCAGCUUAGAUAUUAAAAGGAAAAGAAAUGAGUACUAGGCUAAAGCAAAAGAGCUGACAAAAUCCAAAAAGUUAUUAUGGCAAUCUAUAGGGGCUAAAUACUCCCAACUAAAUAACCAAAGGAGACAUCUAGCUUUAAGUAUGUGUGUUGGAGUUGAUAUCCCAUCAAAACAUCUGCGAUUCCUUUCUGUCCAAACACACCAAAAGAUACAAGUAGGGAUCAUCUGCCAGACUUUCCUGAUGACUCUAUCACCUUCCAACCAGACCAGCAUGCAUAGAGACUUCUCUGAUGCUUUGUGGCAUGACCCAACUGAGACCAAAGAUAGAAAGAAACAUGCACCACAUGUUUGAGGCAACUGAGCAAUGUAGCAAAAGGUGUCUGUUGGACUCUGAAUGUUGCCAGCACAUACAAGCACUUGUAUGUUUGAGGCAACCGAGCAAUGUAGCAAAAGGUGUCUGUUGGACUUUGAAUGUUGCCGGCACAUAAAACAUCUGUAAACAAUUGGCAAAACCUCUUCUGUUAAGGUUGUCCUGUGUUAAACAAGAUUCAUUAAGGGCUAUCCAGCUAUGCAAAACUUGCUGGUAGAUAAACUAGCUUUUCACAAGGAAAUGUAGUAGACAAACAUUCAAAAGGAAUAUUUCACCAUACAUUUUGUGUUAUGACUUGACAUUGAUUUAAUAGUUGAAUGAUAUUUAAAAUACUAGGAUGCUCAACAUAGAGGGAAUAUGAUGGCAACAUUGGUCUAUGGAAUCAAUAGCAUAAACUCAUAUAUAAUCUGUUUGUCUUUACCUGAUUUUUGUUGAACUAUUUUCCACUUUUGUUAGGAAAGUUGGAAUUCUCUUGAUGGAAUAUAAGUAAAGCAUUGUGUUACUCAUGGCUUGUUCUGCAAUUUUCAAUGACAG